GUCAAUCAAGAAGGGCGUCGUACGCGAUGAGUUGUUUCCUCUUUGAAAGGUAAAAUGAUGUCAAAUUUAUAUCUCCGUGGAACGGAUCGGAGUACAUACAUACACAUACACAAACGACAGUCGGGAACAAAUCACAAACAAGUUUACAACACAAAAGACAAACACAAACACACACGCAUCGAGUCUCUGGCAGCUGCUAACGCAGGAACAGAAUCCUGCUCAGCCGCUGCAAGCAGCUAGCACUCUCCGACCCCGGCUGAAACCGGCCGCCGGGGUCGACAUAAAUCUAGAUGCGCACGGUGGUCCUCCUGUGUCCGGCGCGGCCGAAGGAGAGCGUGCGGAUGAUGCGGCGCCACAGCGCCCCCAGCGACGGCAUCCUGCGCCGGUGGUGCGUCGUCGUGGUGGUGGUCGUCGUCGCCGCCCGCUUCCUCCCCCACAGCGACGGCAUGGCUAGCUAGCUGCUCUUCCUUGCUUCUGUGCAAGCGCCGCGGUGUGAUAAAGCUUUCGAUGUGGUGAUAUAGAUCUAGGAUUGGACGAGAUCGAUGAAUGGAUUGAUUGAUGAUGAUUAUCUGAUACGCGCUCGGCCAUUUUUAUACGGCGCGGUUUGGGGUGCUUUGCGCGAGGGCUGCCUGCUGCGCUGCGUACGUGGGCUGGCGGGUGGAAAGGCCCAGGGGCUGCGUGUAGAGGGCCGCUGGAUGACGCGUGUGCCGCGGGUCAGAUGCUUCGGAAUGGGUUCGUUGCGUUGGCUCCGUGGGGAGGGAACUCGAGCGCGUACGUGUACCCCCUGCAGUCGGCGCGGGGGGGACUGACGCGUGUGUUGCUUGCUUUUUU
rnacentral:lncRNA from 1 species